rnacentral:piRNA from 1 species
UUUAUCUUUCACCUGGCUACAUGACU